GAUGAACGCUGGCGGCGUGCUUAACACAUGCAAGUCGAACGAAGCACUUUAUUUGAUUUCCUUCGGGACUGAUUAUUUUGUGACUGAGUGGCGGACGGGUGAGUAACGCGUGGGUAACCUGCCUUGUACAGGGGGAUAACAGUUGGAAACGGCUGCUAAUACCGCAUAAGCGCCCAGCAUCGCAUGAUGCAGUGUGAAAAACUCCGGUGGUAUAAGAUGGACCCGCGUUGGAUUAGCUAGUUGGUGAGGUAACGGCCCACCAAGGCGACGAUCCAUAGCCGAGAUGAGAGGGAGAGCGGCCACAUUGGGACUGAGACACGGCCGAAACUACUGCGGGAGGCGGCAGUGGGGAAUAUUGCACAAUGGGCGAAGGCCUGAUGGAGCGACGACGGGUGAGCGAAGAAGUAUUGCGGUAUGUAAAGCUAGAUCAGAAGGGAAGAUAAUGACGGUACCUGACGAAGAAGCACCGGCUAACUACGUG
rnacentral:rRNA from 1 species